CAGGUAACCUUUUCUACCCUGACAGGUGGCUUGUAGGACUUUUUCUUUACCUUUGGAAGAAAUUUUCACCAGAACAUCUUAGAUAUAUGCCAUCAGCAGUCGCCAAACACCAGAUAUGUCCCCUGGAGGACAGCUCUUCAAAUACAAAAGGAUGAACCAAGAAAGAAGACAACAUGGGCUACAGUAAACAGAAAGAUGCAGGGGAGCACUGAGGAUAAUGACAACUUUACACCACGGGCAUCCAAACAACCUGAGCAUUUAGACAAGUGUUCCUUCCAUGUGCUCCCCCCCACCACCCCCAAUCCCCCGCUAUUCAAAACAAACAAGAACAAAAGCCACAAAUUCAACAGGACUGGGUAAUCUCAAGACUUAUAAAAGGUCUUUGCCAAUCUCAUUUGUGUCACUGUGGCU